AUGCUGGUGAUCUGGAUUGUGACACUGAGUCUCUGGCUCGGGCUACCUGCUACAGCAACACAGGAGUCAUCUACAAUCAUCUCUACCAACGAUGCAUCCACAUCGAAUUCCAGUGACCCCUCUACUCUCUCUGCCACAUCUAUUUCUGAAAAAUCCACUGUCAUCACAGCUGGUUCAAACUCAUCAAAUUCUACAGUCUCAUCUUCUACAAGUUCUUCUAAUUCUUUGAGCCCCAGUGGAUUUUCAACCACAACUAUGAACACUGGUGACAGCAUGACAGCUUUUACUGAAUUGACUUCUGCCUUCACAACCAGUCCUGAAUUGUCCAAAUCAACUGUUUCCUCUGGGACCUCUUCCACCUCGGAAGAUAGAAGUGCUGCAUCUUCUUCUAGCUCUGGUCACCUAUCUACCACCCUUACUAGCUCAGCACAGACAGAUUCAGACCUCACAGAAGGAUCGAUUUUGUAUACAGGCACCCCUAAAUUGUCCAAGCUUACAAUGACCUCACACAGUACCUUUAGCAAAGAGGAUGAAAUGUUGGCUUCCACAUUAGGCUCUAGAGAAACUUUUACCACCAGAGAUGAUCAUGGAAUUGUGAACAGAUCCUUGUUUCAGGAGGUGUCCACAUUGACAUCUUUUACAAACUAUUCCUACAGCACAGCAAAGGAAAUUCCUGCUUAUUCAUCAAGUCCCAUUGAACACUAUACCCUCACUACAGAUACAGAAAAAACCACCACACCUCUGACACGGGUGGCAAGCACCUAUACCACCGUUUCUGAUUUGUCUAUAUCCACUGAUUCAUCUGAGCAUUCUCACGUUGUAGACAAAGGAAGGUCUGAAAGAACAUUGAGACCUAGAGAAUUAUCUACAAGUCCAGUAGACUCAGAGCUGAAUACCAAUGAGGUGACUCAGAAAAACAGAGACAAGAACAUGAUUUCUGAUUCUUCUGUAGCCACAGGCUCACCUACAACCGUGAACAAAGAAGAAUUCUCAACAUCAAUGUAUUCUUCUAAAAAUUCCUAUAAAACAAAUGACGGAAGCUCCGCGUCCCCUUCAGGUCCGGGCCAGCUGUCCACCACCGUCUCUGUCUCAGCACAGACGACCACGGGCCUCGUGGACGGAUCCAGUGUGUAUCCAGGCACCCCUCACUCAUCAGAGCCAACGGGUAUCCCACACAGCACCACCAGCGGAGAGGAUGCAGUUUCUGCUUCCACACCAACGACUGCUGGCCCUUUUACUACCCAUGCUGAUGGCGGACACACAACCACAUCUCUUGCUGCAGGGUCCACGAUCUACACCGCCACUGCGCCCUCGGAGUUGUCCACACCAUCCUUUUCCACUACUGCCUCCCACAGCACAGAUAGUGAGAUUCCCACCUCCACAUGGAGCCCCAGUGAGCUCUCUACCCACACUGUGGUCACUGGGCAAGCCGGCUCCACUCCCACAGGCGAGACAACCAUCAUCCCCACUGUGCCAGCUUCAUCUGAGCCCACGGCGUCAACCCACGUUUCCCAUACCACAGACGCCGGCCGUUCCACCGUCCCAUCGAGGCCAGGAGACCUGUCUACCAGCCCGGCUGUCUCAGGACCGACUGCUACUGGUGUCCCCCAGGAAUCCACGGACCACGGCACCAUCUCUGAUUCUCCUCAACCUCCGGACUCAUCGGCAACCACUUUUACCAAGGGUGAUGCAAGUCCCAUGUCUACGUCAAGUCCCACCGAGUCUUUAGCCACUUCCCCGGGUUCGGGACCGUCAGCCUCACCCAGUGCUACGGAGUCUACUUUCUCCACGAUCGUCUCAGAGUCAUCGGAAUACACAGUGGCUUCCUAUACUACAGGCUCUCCAAGUCCCUCGAGCCAGGAAGACUCUUCCACCACCACCCUGACCACCGGACACAGCACUACCGCCCUUUCGGCGUUGCCCUCCGUCUUCACAACUGUGUCUGCUUUGACCAAAACGACCGUUACUUCAGAAACCUCCUAUACGGUGGGUGACGGAAGCUCCGCGUCCCCUUCAGGUCCGGGCCAGCUGUCGACCACCGUCUCUGUCUCAGCACAGACGACCAUGGGCCUCGUGGACGGAUCCAGUGUGUAUCCAGGCACCCCUCACUCAUCAGAGCCAACGGGUAUCCCACACAGCACCACCAGCGGAGAGGAUGCAGUUUCUGCUUCCACACCAACGACUGCUGGCCCUUUUACUACCCAUGCUGAUGGCGGACACACACAACCACAUCUCUUGCUGCAGGGUCCACGAUCUACACCGCCACGGCCCCCUCAGAGUUGUCCACACCAUCCUUUUCCACUACUGCCUCCCACAGCACAGAUAGUGAGAUUCCCACCUCCACAUGGAGCCCCAGUGAGCUCUCUACCCACACUGUGGUCACUGGGCAAGCCGGCUCCACUCCCACAGGCGAGACAACCAUCAUCCCCACUGUGCCAGCUUCAUCUGAGCCCACGGCGUCAACCCACGUUUCCCAUAUCACAGACGCCGGCCGUUCCACCGUCCCAUCGAGGCCAGGAGACCUGUCUACCAGCCCGGCUGUCUCAGGACCGACUGCUACUGGUGUCCCCCAGGAAUCCACGGACCACGGCACCAUCUCUGAUUCUCCUCAACCUCCGGACUCAUCGGCAACCACUUUUACCAAGGGUGAUGCAAGUCCCAUGUCUACGUCAAGUCCCACCGAGUCUUUAGCCACUUCCCCGGGUUCGGGACCGUCAGCCUCACCCAGUGCUACGGAGUCUACUUUCUCCACGAUCGUCUCAGAGUCAUCGGAAUACACAGUGGCUUCCUAUACUACAGGCUCUCCAAGUCCCUCAAGCCAGGAAGACUCUUCCACCACCACCCUGACCACUGGACACAGCACUACCGCCCUUUCGGCGUUGCCCUCCGUCUUCACAACUGUGUCUGCUUUGACCGGAACGACCGUUACUUCAGAAACCUCCUAUACGGUGGGUGACGGAAGCUCCGCGUCCCCUUCAGGUCCGGGCCAGCUGUCGACCACCGUCUCUGUCUCAGCACAGACGACCACGGGCCUCGUGGACGGAUCCACUGUGUAUCCAGGCACCCCUCACUCAUCAGAGCCAACGGGUAUCCCACACAGCACCACCAGCGGAGAGGAUGCAGUUUCUGCUUCCACACCAACGACUGCUGGCCCUUUUACUACCCAUGCUGAUGGCGGACACACAACCACAUCUCUUGCUGCAGGGUCCACGAUCUACACCGCCACUGCCCCCUCAGAGUUGUCCACACCAUCCUUUUUCCACUACUGCCUCCCACAGCACAGAUAGUGAGAUUCCCACCUCCACAUGGAGCCCCAGUGAGCUCUCUACCCACACUGUGGUCACUGGGCAAGCCGGCUCCACUCCCACAGGCGAGACAACCAUCAUCCCCACUGUGCCAGCUUCAUCUGAGCCCACGGCGUCAACCCACGUUUCCCAUACCACAGACGCCGGCCGUUCCACCGUCCCAUCGAGGCCAGGAGACCUGUCUACCAGCCCGGCUGUCUCAGGACCGACUGCUACUGGUGUCCCCCAGGAAUCCACGGACCACGGCACCAUCUCUGAUUCUCCUCAACCUCCGGACUCAUCGGCAACCACUUUUACCAAGGGUGAUGCAAGUCCCAUGUCUACGUCAAGUCCCACCGAGUCUUUAGCCACUUCCCCGGGUUCGGGACCGUCAGCCUCACCCAGUGCUACGGAGUCUACUUUCUCCACGAUCGUCUCAGAGUCAUCGGAAUACACAGUGGCUUCCUACACUACAGGCUCUCCAAGUCCCUCGAGCCAGGAAGACUCUUCAACCAGCACCCUGACCACUGGACACAGCACUACCGCCCUUUCGGCAUUGCCCUCCGUCUUCACAACUGUGUCUGCUUUGACCGAAACGACCGUUACUUCAGAAACCUCCUAUACGGUGGGUGACGGAAGCUCCGCGUCCCCUUCAGGUCCGGGCCAGCUGUCGACCACCGUCUCUGUCUCAGCACAGACGACCACGGGCCUCGUGGACGGAUCCAGUGUGUAUCCAGGCACCCCUCACUCAUCAGAGCCAACGGGUAUCCCACA
rnacentral:lncRNA from 1 species